CUCCGGUUGAUCCUGCCGGACCUGACUGCUAUCGGAUUGGUACUAAGCCAUGCGAGUCGUUGUAGCAAUACAAGGCGGACGGCUCAGUAACACGUAGUCAACCUAACCUAUGGACGUGGAUAACCUCGGGAAACUGAGAAUAAACCGCGAUAGAUCAUUAUGCCUGGAAUGGCUUAUGGUUCAAACAAUUUAUUGCCGUAGGAUGGGACUGCGGCCUAUCAGCUUGUUGGUGAGGUAAUGGCCCACCAAGGCUAUAACAGGUACGGGCUCUGAGAGGAGAAGCCCGGAGAUGGGUACUGAGACACGGACCCAGGCCCUAUGGGGCGCAGCAGGCGAGAAACCUUAGCAAUGUGCGAAAGCACGACUAGGUUAAUCCGAGUGAUUUCUGUUGAAGAAAUCUUUUGUCAGUCGUAAAACCACAGACGAAUAAGGGGUGGGCAAGUCUGGUGUCAGCCGCCGCGGUAAUACCAGCACCUCGAGUGGUCAGGAGGUUUAUUGGGCCUAAAGCAUCCGUAGCCGGCUACGCAAGUCUCCGGUUAAAUCCAGCUGCUCAACAGAUGGGCUGCCGGAGAUACUACAUAGCUAGGGAGCGGGAGAGGUAGACGGUAUUCUGUGGGUAGGGGUAAAAUCCACUGAUCCAUAGAGGACCACCAGUGGCGAAGGCGGUCUACCAGAACGCGUUCGACGGUGAGGGGUGAAAGCUGGGGGAGCAAACCGGAUUAGAUACCCGGGUAGUCCCAGCUGUAAACGAUGCAAAUUCGGUGAUCCAUUGGUUUAUGGCCAAUCCAGUCCCCCAGGGAAGCCGUUAAUUUUCCCCCCUGGCGAAGUACGGACGCAGGUUUGAAACUUAAGGAAUUGCCGGGGGAACC
rnacentral:rRNA from 1 species